rnacentral:rRNA from 1 species
GAUUAACGCUGGCGGCGUACAUAAGGCAUGCAAGUCGAGCGUGGUGUGUGGCUUCGGUCACACAUCUAGCGGCGAACGGGUGAGUAACACGUGAGCAACCUACCUUUGAGUCUGGGAUAGCCCUGGGAAACCAGGAUUAAUACCGGAUGUGGUCACGACAAGACAUCUUGGCGUGAGUAAAGCAGCAAUGCGCUCAAUGACGGGCUCGCGGCCUAUUAGCUUGUUGGUGGGGUAACGGCCUACCAAGGCGAUGAUGGGUAGCUGGUCUGAGAGGAUG